CCUACGGGUGGCAGCAGUGGGGAAUAUUGCACAAUGGGCGCAAGCCUGAUGCAGCCAUGCCGCGUGUGUGAAGAAGGCCUUCGGGUUGUAAAGCACUUUCAGCGGGGAGGAAGGCGUUAAGGUUAAUAACGUUGGCGAUUGACGUUACCCGCAGGAGAAGCACCGGCUAACUCCGUGCCAGCAGCCGCGGUAAUACGGAGGGUGCAAGCGUUAAUCGGAAUUACUGGGCGUAAAGCGCACGCAGGCGGUCUGUCAAGUCGGAUGUGAAAUCCCCGGGCUCAACCUGGGAACUGCAUUCGAAACUGGCAGGCUAGAGUCCUGGAGAGGGGGGUAGAAUUCCAGGUGUAGCGGUGAAAUGCGUAGAGAUCUGGAGGAAUACCGGUGGCGAAGGCGGCCCCCUGGACAAAGACUGACGCUCAGGUGCGAAAGCGUGGGGAGCAAACAGGAUUAGAUACCCUAGUAGUC
rnacentral:rRNA from 1 species